rnacentral:lncRNA from 1 species
UCUAUGCUCAGUAUGAAAAAAAGGCAAGAGCCACAGUCUUGGGUUUUGGAAGAAAGUAGCUUUCACUAAUGCCCCGCUUCUGCCUCAGCUCUGUUGCUCCUUGCCUCAAGAUUUGUUCUCUCCGAUUCAACCCAAGCCCGGAAAGAUAUCAAGGUGGCCUGUGAGAUGGGGCGAGCCGAUGGGCGAAGUGGAAGAGAUGGCACAUGUAUGGCUGUGGCUGAUUCUACACAAUCAGAGAUGAAACAGCCCCCCUAUUUUAGACACUGGAGUUCUGGAAAAAUAUAGGAGAAACAAAAGAACCGCUUGAUGAGUCUUGAAGGAAUGUACAUCAUUGCUGCUAACAUUUCCUUGUCCAAAGCAAGUGACAUGGUCAAGCCUGAUGUCAUCAGAGUAAGAAGCUGUGGGCUUCCUACCAGACAAGGGAGCAAAUACAUUGAAUCCAUCAUACAACCAACUGCAAUGGAUUCAACUAAAUAAGAUAUUUUUUAAAUCUCUGUUACUUAAACACACAUGACUCUAUGCAAUGGAGGG